CACGUAGGGUGCGAGCGUUGUCCGGAAUUAUUGGGCGUAAAGAGCUCGUAGGCGGUGUGUCGCGUCGGCCGUGAAAACCUGCAGCUUAACUGUGGGCGUGCGGUCGAUACGGGCAUCACUGGAGUUCGGCAGGGGAGACUGGAAUUCCUGGUGUAGCGGUGAAAUGCGCAGAUAUCAGGAGGAACACCGGUGGCGAAGGCGGGUCUCUGGGCCGAUACUGACGCUGAGGAGCGAAAGCGUGGGGGGCGAACAGG
rnacentral:rRNA from 1 species